rnacentral:rRNA from 1 species
UACGGGGGGGGCAAGCGUUGUUCGGAAUUACUGGGCGUAAAGGGCUCGUAGGCGUCCAACUAAGUCCGACGUGAAAUCCCCAGGCUUAACCUGGGAACUGCGUCGGAUACUGGAUGGCUUGAAUUCGGGAGAGGGAUGCAGAAUUCCAGGUGUAGCGGUGAAAUGCGUAGAUAUCUGGAGGAAUACCGGUGGCUAAGGCGGCAUCCUGGACCGACAUUGACGCUGAUGAGCGAAAGCUAGGGGAGCAAACGGG